GGCAGAUGGUCAGGCUUUAUUAUGGUUGUCAAAACACCUACUUGCUGGUCUCUGCAACUUUCAACCACGAUUUUUCAAAAAUCACCUCAUACUUCUCAAGUCACGCUCAAUUCGACUGGUCAUGCGCUUCAACCGGAUCUUGCAAGUAUUCUCACGAUCUGGAGUAGCUUGCCAGGAAUCUUCCGCUGGUUUAACCCUAGAGUG